rnacentral:rRNA from 1 species
UACGAAGGGGGCGAGCGUUGUUCGGAUUUACUGGGCGUAAAGGGCGCGCAGGCGGCUCAUUUUGUCAGGCGUGAAAGCCCCGGGCUUAACCCGGGAAUAGCGCUUGAUACUGUUGGGCUUGAGUCCGGGAGAGGAUAGUGGAAUUCCCAGUGUAGAGGUGAAAUUCGUAGAUAUUGGGAAGAACACCAGUGGCGAAGGCGGCUAUCUGGACCGGAACUGACGCUGAGGCGCGAAAGCGUGGGGAGCAAACAGG